rnacentral:rRNA from 1 species
UCUCCUGGAAAACGGGUGGUAAUGCCGGAUGCUCCGACUCCUCGCAUGGGGUGUCGGGAAAGAUUAUAUCGGUAUGGGAUGGGGUCGCGUCCUAUCAGGUAGUCGGCGGGGUAACGGCCCACCGAGCCUACGACGGGUAGCCGGCCUGAGAGGGCGACCGGCCACAUUGGGACUGAGAUACGGCCCAGACUCCUACGGGAGGCAGCAGUGGGGAAUAUUGCACAAUGGGCGCAAGCCUGAUGCAGCGACGCCGCGUGCGGGAUGACGGCCUUCGGGUUGUAAACCGCUUUUGAUCGGGAGCAAGCCUUCGGGUGAGUGUACCUUUCGAAUAAGCACCGGCUAACUACGUGCCAGCAGCCGCGGUAAUACGUAGGGUGCAAGCGUUAUCCGGAAUUAUUGGGCGUAAAGGGCUCGUAGGCGGUUCGUCGCGUCCGGUGUGAAAGUCCAUCGCUUAACGGUGGAUCUGCGCCGGGUACGGGCGGGCUGGAGUGCGGUAGGGGAGACUGGAAUUCCCGGUGUAACGGUGGAAUGUGUAGAUAUCGAAAAAAAACACCACC